rnacentral:rRNA from 1 species
UAGGGAAUAUUGGUAAUGGGCGAAAGCCUGAACCAGCAACGCCGCGUGUGCGAUGAAGGCCUUCGGGUUGUAAAGCACUUUUUGAGGGGAUGAGGAAGGACAGUACCCUCAGAAUAAGUCUCGGCUAACUACGUGCCAGCAGCCGCGGUAACACGUAGGAGACUAGCGUUAUCCGGAUUUACUGGGCGUAAAGCGCGUGCAGGUGGCUCGGAAAGUUCGAUGUGAAAGCUCCCGGCUUAACUGGGAGAGGUCGUUGAAUACUUUCGGGCUAGAGG